UACGUAGGGGGCAAGCGUUGUCCGGAAUCAUUGGGCGUAAAGAGCGUGUAGGCGGCUCGGUAAGUCCGCUGUAAAAGUCCAGGGCUCAACCCUGGAAAGCCGGUGGAAACUGUCGAGCUAGAGUCCGGAAGAGGCGAGUGGAAUUCCUGGUGUAGCGGUGAAAUGCGCAGAUAUCAGGAGGAACACCAAUGGCGAAGGCAGCUCGCUGGGACGGUACUGACGCUGAUGCACGAAAGCUGGGGGAGCAAACAGG
rnacentral:rRNA from 1 species